rnacentral:rRNA from 1 species
GGGAAUAUUGCGCAAUGGGGGGAACCCUGACGCAGCAACGCCGCGUGAAGGAGGAAGUAUUUCGGUAUGUAAACUUCUAUCAGCAGGGAAGAAGGAAGUGACGGUACCUGCAUAAGAAGCCCCGGCUAAUUACGUGCCAGCAGCCGCGGUAAUACGUAAGGGGCAAGCGUUAUCCGGAUUUACUGGGUGUAAAGGGUGAGUAGGCGGUUCGGCAAGUCAUAUGUGAAAUACCUGGGCUCAACCCAGGAACCGCAUAAGAAACUGUCGGACUUGAGUACAGGAGAGGUAAGCGGAAUUCCCAGUGUAGCGGUGAAAUGCGUAGAUAUUAGGAGGAACACCAGUUGCGAAGGCGGCUCUCUGGACUGUAACUGACGCUGAGGCACGAAAGCGUGGGGAGCAAACA